ensembl:lncRNA
GCACUCUUUGUUUGUUGUCUUUAUUUUAUAAGUGCACAAAGUUUUGUUGUUAUUAUGUCUGUAUACAAAAAAAAGUAGACCCUUUACAGAUUCGAUUGAUGUAUUGCUCUUAUCUGUACGAUCAAACUGGAAGUGUAAUUUAAGUUCUUUUCGGGGUUAUCAGGAGAAAAUACCCCAAAACGCGUAUACGUUUUAAUCGACUCCAGAGGGUUAAUAGAAAACAAUGUUAUAAGUGUGAGCGUGUAAUUGGUUCAGGACUUGCCUGUGGUUGUCACAGUUGUGUAUAAAAGACAUAAAAAAUACAUACAAAACAUAACCCAUUGAAUAUCACAAGAUUAUAAUAAUUGAUCUUCAGCCCAGAUACCCUAUGCAUCGUAGAGGGCCACCCUGGGCAGAAGUUAGGCUAGCACUUACACCCAAAUCAUCAUAAGUUUGUUAAUUUAAGUUUAGUUUGUUUAGCCAUCCUUCAUAAUAUUCCUUUAGGCUCCUUUCUGUGAUAAUUUGUUGAUUAUUUGGGACUUUUAUCACUUCCAUUUGCUUACGAUUGACGAUUAAUGUUCUUAAUAUAGGUAAUACACAACAAAAUAAUAAUCCUCCUAUUAGUAUGGCAAGUUUGGCAACUCCCAAAAACAUUCCCAGUUUAGCAAACCAUGCUCCCCAUGCUCCAAAUUUCAAAUCAAUCCAAUCCCAAAUUUGUUUGUCUCUUCCGGCAUUUGCUGUAACUUCAGCUCUUAAUUUUUUAAUUUUAGUCAUAACUUCACUAAAAGCUCCCCCAGGGGCAGUAUUAUUUGGUAUAAAAUACAACAUUGAUCUCCGAACAUAACACAGAGACUCCUCCCUUGUCCGCCAAAAGCCAAUUAAAAGCCUGUCUGUUUUGCCAUGUCAUUCUACUUGUUGCGUGUACUUGGUCUCCUAACAAGGUUAACACAUCAUCAGUAUAAUUAAUGAAUCUUUGUUGAUUAUAAUAAAUGUAAUUAAUCCACUCUGCAUUUUUGUUUGGUGUGAUCCGAACAAAUAUUGACUCAAAACCUGUUUUUAUUUCAUCUCUUGCCUUGAAUUCAUUAGCAAUUCCUCUCGGUUGUCCAAUUGAGUCUAAAUAUACAUUGGGGUCUGGCUCGUAACCUCUUUUAAUUCUGUUGUCUUCCUUACUUGUGCUUGGUUGUGUUCCCCAUUGUGCCAUGUUAACUUCUUGAAGUAAUCGUACUCUUACACAUAUACCUUUCCAUCCUACUGGUAAAGAAGGCAGUAAUAUCUCACCUCCACUGAUCCAAAAGAAAUCUGCUAUUAUUAAUGAUUAGUCUUCAUAAAUUUCUAUUGAAGGUAAUGCAAUAGUUUGAUUUUCACAUUCUUCAGCCGUUAUUUUACUUCCGUUAGUUGUUCCGAGUGCUAACAGUUCUGGAGCUCUAGAAGGAAUUCCUGAUUUCCAAGAAUUUUUCUUAUCUAUGUACCAAAUAAUAGCACAUUUUCCUUUAAAUUUGCCCACAUCUUGUGUUCCUUUUGGUUUAUGGAAAUAUAUUCAUAUUCCUGUUUAUAAUCUAUGCUAUACAAUUUUGGAAUCUCUACUUUCCGUUUUUCAAUUUUUUAUAUUUCGGCUGACAUCUGAGUACUGACACCAAGAUCCCUAGAGUGGUCUAAAAAAAAUAAUCUGUUAAUUUAGGAUUUCCCAAAAAUCCUAGACAUUCAGCAAAACAAUAUGGUCUGGUAAAAUCUGUUAAAUGACAAAAGUUUCUCCCAAAUUUUGCACAUUUUCGGUAGUCAUAUGGAUUUGGUAUGGCUAUUACUUUGUUUAACAGAGAUUUGGAGCGCAGCAAGCAAUUUUCUUUUCCUGUUUCUCUAGCAGAAGUGCAUGAAGUGCCUGCCACACUGCUGGACCGAAUGCAUCAAAACAAUCCCAUCCAUAUUGUGAGAGUUGACUGCUCUGUUUAGAGUAGUUGUUUGAUGUAUUUCAUCCAUCUUUGUCCCUCCUACAAUUUUAGCCAGCAAAGCUUUAAUGUCUCUCACAGCCAAAAGUUUGUUCCUCAAACACCCUGAUCCACUUUCCAGCCCCCUCGUGAAUAUCUGGGAGGCGAUUGACCAGCCCCUCGAGGUCCUGUGAAGCCCAGGGGACUUACUGUCCCUGCCCACCCUUGAUUAAAAUUGGGAGUUGUGCAGCCAGUGGUCUGAAUGUCCCCUUUUCUCUGCCCUAUUCCCAUUUUCUGUUAUCAAAUAACUCAUCUGCUUUAUGUAUAUCCUCAUUACUGUCAAACAACUUACUUAUCCCUCUUUCUAAUUUAUUGACCUCUUGCAUAUUUUUCCUAAUUCUUUCAUUUUCUCUUCUAUUUCUUCUUCCAUAGCCUCUACUUCUGCUUUUAUUUCUAUUUAUUAUCUGUUCUCCUCAUUUUUUCUAAUCCUUCCUCAAACCUGGGUUUAUCUUCCUGGUUUGCUUUCAUUUUUUCUAAUGCUGUACGUGCCUGUCUGUAACAAAUCAAUCUGCAAAUUUUCUUCACUUUUCUUUCUAUCUUGCUUCUGUGUUUUCACAGCUGGUUCCUCUCUACCAUCCAUCUCUAUAUGCCCCUCCAUCUCCAGUUCUCCUGUUACUUCCACUGUUCCCUUGAGAAUUGGGAACUCUCCCUCUUAGGGAAAUAGGGGGAGACUCAGAAAAUACCUUUCCCUUUUCUCUUUGUCUCUUUCUCUUUGUCUCUUUUCUUUCUAACUUUUCUCUCCUUCCUUCUUAAACAUGGCUAUUACUUAUUUCUACCUUUUCCCUUUCUGUUUCUCUUUUUUCUCUUUUUCUUACUUAUGCUUUUAGCUUUAUAGUUUUUUUUUUUAUUUGAUCAGUUUCCAUCUCACACAAUGCUACAUCAAAUGUCCCUUCCUUUUGUCAUAUUUUUGUUCUCUUCUGCCAUUUGUUUGAGAUCUUGUUUAUUAGCUCUUUACACAGUGGAUAUUUUAAUUCUAUUAUUUCCUGCCAUAUCUGAGUGGCUUUCAUAUCUUUUCUUAUAAUAUUACAAUCCAAUAUAUACUUUUUAAUUCUGUAUAUAUAUAUUUAUUUAAUUAUCUAUAUUUAUCUAUAUAUUUAUUCAUCUAUCAACUUAUCUUAUCUAUUUUUAACCAGUUUUUCCAUUUUUUUUUCUUUAUUCCUUAGUCUUUAUUCAUGCCUCUUUGUAUUUACUUAUUAAUUCUGUCUGAUACAUUUACACUUUUUGUAUAAAUUGAGUAUGUAUAAAAUUUCUAAAGAUAAUUCUUUAUCUAUCUUUACUUCUCUUUAUUGUUUUGUCUGCACUUUUAUUAUUUCUAAUAUACUUAUUUAACUUAAUGCCUUGCUCUCACUUCUACUGCUCUGAUCUCACAAAAUUCCUCCUUCUCUUUCACACAGACAUCCAAAAUGCAAAAGCCUAUAAAAAAAUCUUGAUUCAAAUUUUAUUGAUUCUAUUUUCCUAAACACAUUCACUCCUUCUAAACCCUUUCAUCCUUUGUCCCUUCAUCCUGUAGGGCUCAAUCUCUCAUACUUUUGUCCCUUAAUUUGUCCUAGGUC